CUGCACAUCUGGAAUUGAGCCUGGAAGCUGCUCUGCCCUUCCUCGAGGAGGACACCAGAGAAAACAGCUUUGCACAUUGCCCAGCAGCACUGUGGCCAUGAGCUGUUCUCCUCCUGUGAUGCACAGCAUGACCCAGUCUGGAUGCUCUGCCAGCAAUGUUGUGAACUGGAGAUCGCAAUCUACAGCUGGCUUUGGACGGCAUGGUGAGAUCGAGCCUAAAGAAGCCAAAAGCAAAGAAGCAGCAGAAGGAAGGAGAGACCUUGGGAAAGACCCAGACACACAUGCAAGUGAACAUUAAAGCAACAUCAGGCAUAUAUGCGAGAAGGAAAAUAACCUUUUCAGAAAUCACAGAUUCAUCCUUUGAUGCCACCAUUCAGUAUCAACCUUCAGUACCAGAGGGGAGACAGCCCCUGGACUGCACUGGAGGUGGAGGACCAUGCACUGAGAAGCAGGUGGAAACUGUAACACACAAUUUCCUAUUGGAGGUUCCUUGUUUUGACAAAAAAUCCAUUUUCCAUUGAGCAGAGAUUUAAACAUUCCUGCCUGCUGUAUGAGCAAUGAAGAGCAUCCAUCACACCGGGGGGAGGGAGGAGUGGGUCAUGAAAAGGGAAUUUGGGGGCUCUAUGUGAAAUGUUGGCAAACUUUACGUCUCCUACAUGGAAGGAUCUAGAAACCAGCCCUGAGCAAAGCAAUGUGGAGGAAAGGUUAUUCCUAUGUUUUUCAUCAGCCACAAUGAAAAGCCUGAUUUGCUGUGAUUGCUGCUGAUGUGAUUGCUUUGACAUCUUUAGAUUUGUUCACACUCUUAGUCCAAAUAUGUGCUAUUUUAGAAAUUGAUACAAUGCAGAAUAUAAAAAGCACAGAUUCAACACUUGCACUAAAUUCAAUCAAAAUUUUAAAGCAAUCUCUACAGUAGUAUUAAAAUUACAGAUAUUAGCAAUCAAUUGAUAAAUUCACAUCAUAAACAGAAUUUGCAUUAUGCAUUUUCUCCUUAUGCCUUCCAUUUUCCAUGCAAAUAAGUAACUAACCCUUGUAACAAAAUACUAUUAUUGCAUAACAAAUUCCAUUUUUCUGUAAGGAGGUAAAAAGCUUCUGCACCAAAAUUGGUCAUUUUUUAAAUGGCAAAAGCAAUAAAAUCACAGACACAGUGUCAAGCUGACUGCAUUUCCAUGGCAGAAAUGGUUUUAUCUCUUGGUCCUAGAAAUGUCUCUUUCACAGAAGGAAAUACCCCAACCCAAACAGCUGUAAGGAGCUGUUUUAACCUUGCACUACUCCCAGUUUCAUACACUUCUCAAAUCCAGGCUGAUUUUAACUUGAACUCUACCCAUGGAUGCGCACUGAACAAAUUAAUUUCCAUCCUAGGCUAUUGUUAGUCAACGGUUUUGCUUCAAAUACACUUAGAGGGGUUUUCCCCCAACUUGAAC